GUCCCCGUAGCGCAACUGGAUAGCGUGUCGGCCUCCGAAGCCGAAGGUUGCAGGUUCGAAUCCCGCCGGGGACG
rnacentral:tRNA from 2 species